AGUUCCAAUCACAAAGCUCUGAAGGAGUUCUUGGAUCUUCUCUCCAACCUAAGACUCUGAGUAUUUUGCUGUAUGAAAAGUAGAAGGUAUGAAAGCGUGUGUUGCCUAGAACAAUGGCAAAGCACAUAAAUAUUAGGUAAAAACUCGUCAGGGGUAAUCCGGUAAUUCUUGUGGGACUUGGGCUUUAAGUCGGCUGAAACCCAAUAUCGUUUAUGCGCGCUUCCCCAUUGAUCGAUACCACAUAGUGUGUGUCGAUCUAUUGUUGCCUUCGCCCAUCGAUCGAUAGUCGUGGUCGAUCGCCAACUUCGGGUCUUUAUCAUUUUAUCUCCAAAAUGCACCAAAAUCACCACU
rnacentral:lncRNA from 1 species